GUUGCAUGGUUGAUUACAUGGACACAAUCGGCACCGAAGAAAAUGGAGUUCAUGUUCAUGUUUGUCUGUUUGCCGAAAAUUGGCUUUAAAAAGCAGAACGUAAAUUAAUCUUAAGUUAACAUAAGGUCAAGUCAUUGGAAUGCGACUGCAAUACACAUUCUGAGGUCACGAAGGUUCAUACAACACUCGUCAACAGCAGCUGACAAACGUAGUCCUGAAGUGGGCGGAGCUUAAAUCGAUAUCUAUAUAGUAUACAAAUAGAUGCUAGCGAUAUAUGUUGGGAUGUAUAUAUAUAUAUAUAUGAUAAGACAUACAAUUGCAGAAUAUAUAUUACUUUUCGUUUUUAUCCUGCAAUUUGAUGUCUUAUUAUACAUAUACAUGUACAGCUCAACAGAUAUCGCUAGCAUGUAUUUGUCUGGUGUAUAAGAUUAUAAUCAUGAUAUAUAUGGUGAGUGUAUUUAUAUUAUUACAUUGCAAAUGUUAUACAUUCAAAAUGUUUUAAACAGAAUAGAAAACAAUAAACACAUUAUUAAUGGUAUCAUAUAUAUUCUACAUAGGGGUCUCUGUGGGUUAAACGUAUAGUUUAACUCUGCUCAUCGAUGAGUCCUGUAUCUAUACCAUUUAAGCAUAAUAUCGGCAACUCCAGUAAUU
rnacentral:lncRNA from 1 species